rnacentral:tRNA from 1 species
CGCGCGGUGGAGAAGUGGUUAACUCACCUGGCUCAUACCCAGGAGAUCGGCGGUUCAAAUCCGCCCUGCGCAA